UCGGGAAACGGAUUAGCGGCGGACGGGUGAGUAACACGUGGGUAACCUGCCUCAUAGAGUGGAAUAGCCUUCCGAAAGGAAGAUUAAUACCGCAUAAUGUUGAAAGAUGGCAUCAUCAUUCAACCAAAGGAGCAAUCCGCUAUGAGAUGGACCCGCGGCGCAUUAGCUAGUUGGUGGGGUAACGGCCUACCAAGGCGACGAUGCGUAGCCGACCUGAGAGGGUGAUCGGCCACAUUGGGACUGAGACACGGCCCAGACUCCUACGGGAGGCAGCAGUGGGGAAUAUUGCACAAUGGGGGAAACCCUGAUGCAGCAACGCCGCGUGAGUGAUGAAGGUUUUCGGAUCGUAAAGCUCUGUCUUUGGGGAAGAUAAUGACGGUACCCAAGGAGGAAGCCACGGCUAACUACGUGCCAGCAGCCGCGGUAAUACGUAGGUGGCGAGCGUUAUCCGGAUUUACUGGGCGUAAAGGGAGCGUAGGCGGAUGAUUAAGUGGGAUGUGAAAUACCCGGGCUCAACUUGGGUGCUGCAUUCCAAACUGGUUAUCUAGAGUGCAGGAGAGGAGAGUGGAAUUCCUAGUGUAGCGGUGAAAUGCGUAGAGAUUAGGAAGAACACCAGUGGCGAAGGCGACUCUCUGGACUGUAACUGACGCUGAGGCUCGAAAGCGUGGGGAGCAAACAGGAUUAGAUACCCUGGGUAGUCCACGCCGUAAACGAUGAAUACUANUGGUGUGGGGGUUUCAACACCUCCGUGCCGCCGCUAACGCAUUAAGUAUUCCGCCUGGGGAGUACGGUCGCAAGAUUAAAACUCAAAGGAAUUGACGGGGACCCGCACAAGUAGCGGAGCAUGUGGUUUAAUUCGAAGCAACGCGAAGAACCUUACCUACACUUGACAUCCCUUGCAUUACUCUUAAUCGAGGAAAUCCCUUCGGGGACAAGGUGACAGGUGGUGCAUGGUUGUCGUCAGCUCGUGUCGUGAGAUGUUGGGUUAAGUCCCGCAACGAGCGCAACCCUUGUCGUUAGUUACUACCAUUAAGUUGAGGACUCUAGCGAGACUGCCUGGGUUAACCAGGAGGAAGGUGGGGAUGACGUCAAAUCAUCAUGCCCCUUAUGUGUAGGGCUACACACGUGCUACAAUGGCUGGUACAGAGAGAUGCAAUACCGUGAGGUGGAGCCAAACUUUAAAACCAGUCUCAGUUCGGAUUGUAGGCUGAAACUCGCCUACAUGAAGCUGGAGUUACUAGUAAUCGCGAAUCAGAAUGUCGCGGUGAAUACGUUCCCGGGUCUUGUACACACCGCCCGUCACACCAUGAGAGUUGGCAAUACCCGAAGUCCGUGAGCUAACCGCAAGGAGGCAGC
rnacentral:rRNA from 1 species